rnacentral:rRNA from 1 species
CCUACGGGGGGCAGCAGUAGGGAAUUUUCGGCAAUGGGGGGAACCCUGACCGAGCAACGCCGCGUGAACGAAGAAGUUAUUCGUAAUGUAAAGUUCUUUUAACAGGGAAGAAAGAGAAAUUUGACGGUACCUGAAGAAUAAGCUCCGGCUAACUACGUGCCAGCAGCCGCGGUAAUACGUAGGGAGCGAUCGUUAUCCGGAAUUAUUGGGCGUAAAGGGUGCGUAGAUGGCAUAGUAAGUCUUUUGUAAAAAUGCUGGGCGCAACCCAGUAGGGCAAAAGAUACUGCAAAGCUAGAGUAUGACAGAGGCAAGUGGAACGACAUGUGUAGCGGUAAAAUGCGUAGAUAUAUGUAAGAACACCAGUGGCGAAGGCGGCUUGCUGGGUCGAUACUGACAUUGAGGCACGAAAGCGUGGGGAGCAAACAGGAUUAGAUACCCGGGUAGUC